rnacentral:rRNA from 1 species
AACCCGGAGAAAUCCGGACUAAUACCACACGGCACUUUCGGGAGGCAUCUUCUGAGAGUUAAAGGAGCGAUGCGGCCGGGGAUGGGCAUGCGGCGCAUUAGCUAGUCGGCGGGGUAACGGCCCACCGAGGCGACGAUGCGUAGGGGUUCUGAGAGGAAGGUCCCCCACACUGGUACUGAGACACGGACCAGACUCCUACGGGAGGCAGCAGUGAGGAAUAUUGGUCAAUGGGCGAGAGCCUGAACCAGCCAAGUCGCGUGAGGGAUGACGGUCCUAUGGAUUGUAAACCUUUUUUGUCGGGGAACAAAGGCGCCCACGAGUGGGCUGAUGAGUGUACCCGAAGAAAAAGCAUCGGCUAACUCCGUGCCAGCAGCCGCGGUAAUACGGAGGAUGCGAGCGUUAUCCGGAUUUAUUGGGUUUAAAGGGUGCGCAGGCGGAAGAUCAAGUCAGCGGUAAAAUUGAGAGGCUCAACCUCUUCGAGCCGUUGAAACUGGUUUUCUUGAGUGAGCGAGAAGUAUGCGGAAUGCGUGGUGUAGCGGUGAAAUGCAUAGAUAUCACGCAGAACUCCGAUUGCGAAGGCAGCAUACCGGCGCUCAACUGACGCUCAUGCA